CCGAAGGAUUUAGAAAAUCAUCGAGGUUGAUUUAGUAAAAUCGUAACAGUAUUAACAAAUCAUUCAUCAUUAUUCGACUUACAUCGAAACAAUACGCACAACACCAUCACUGACUUCUUAAAAGACAUACAAUUAAAUUUAUAGUAAACUAACAAUUUGUUAUUGGCGGUGGCGUUAGAGCAAAAAAAAAAGCUGGCCAUUUACUUCUUAUAACCUUGAAUACUUUUUCGAGGCAAAUAAAAAGUAUUAGGCGAAAAAUUAUUUCCAGCGAGAAGCUGAUACCGGCCUUUGAUAGGGAUGCGCACAGCCACUUAACAAACAUUAGCUUAUCGAUUACAUGCGAUAAAUUAUCUUAAACAGCUUUUAUAGUCAUAAUUAUUCGUUAAAAUAAACAAAAAAAAACUGGUAAUUAUACUAAACAUUAGCAAGGACCUUACUUUUGAAUACGUUAACUUUUCGUAUUACCUGAGUCAUUUGUUAAAAAAAAAUUUACAAUUUAAAAUCUUUAUAAAUAGAUUACCAUGUCGUGUCACCACUAUGUACGAACAUAAACAUUCGAGCUUCUGCAGCUACAAAUAUGAAUAUUCAUCGAUCACAAAGAAUCACCAAGGAGCAAAUCGAAUGCUACUUGGGUGUUUAGAAAUUUAUCCCGAGAUGACCAGACGACGGAAAGACUAGUCUUCGGGACGGAGUAGCUUGUUCGAUGUGCUCAACGAAACAGAGUAAUAAAUUAGAUUUGAAAAUUUACUUAAAGCAUUCUUUAAUUCACAGAAAAUCGAAGAGGCUGAUGGUAUUCUACUGGGAUCUAACUCCCUGAAGUUACAAUGUUUGCUUAUUUUGAAUAGUUAUUUUUCAUUUCACAUAUCUCGAGUGGUACUGAUUUGUAUAUAUUCUGAAGAUUGCAAUAGAAAUAAACGAUACGCUGAAAACAUUUGAAGUUCUAAAAUGCAGAUUACUUUUUAUGAAUUAUUAUAACUAAAAAACUAAAAAAAAACAAGUAAUGGAGAAAUAAAUAAACAAUUUUAAGGUUUCCUACCUUGCAACG